rnacentral:rRNA from 1 species
UACGAAGGGUGCAAACGUUGCUCGGAAUUAUUGGGCGUAAAGCGCACGUAGGCGGCAUCGCAAGUCGGAUGUGAAAUCUUAUGGCUUAACCAUAAAAGUGCGUCCGAAACUGCAGUGCUUGAGUACUUAAGAGGAUCGCGGAAUUCCCGGUGUAGAGGUGAAAUUCGUAGAUAUCGGGAGGAACACCAGUGGCGAAGGCGGCGAUCUGGGAAGAUACUGACGCUGAGGUGCGAAAGCGUGGGGAGCAAACAGG